rnacentral:lncRNA from 1 species
GGACCGCUACAAAAACCGCCCCCAGGGCGCAAUUUUCCAUGAUAUUUGUAUAGCCACAUUUGUUUCAAAAUACAGAGUUCUGUACGGGAAAGAGCAGCACAGCAAGGGCUCUGUUAAACUGGAAAAAAACACUGGCUUUGUUAAGAUGAGAACUAGGGGAUCUGAUGCUGUUGUUAGAUACGCUCGUUUCUCACAAACCAAAUAUCCAGAAAAGCACUACCAAAGUUUGCUACAAUUGUUUUUGCCUCAUUAUUCAACAGAUGAGAUAAAACCUCCACCGUACAACAGUUAUGAGCAGUUUUACAGAACCGGUUCCAUCACUAACAGCAGCAAUACAACGCAAAGUGUUAAGGAAGUUGUAGAUUUGAACAGAUCCCUGUUUGAAGUAGAUGCAGAUGAGCUCGACAGAUGCCAAGAGGUUGCAGGGCACCACGGGGCUCACGACGAGGCAUGGGCAGACCUUUGUCCUGAAUCUGAGUUGGAGCGAUUAGAAUGUCAGGAGGAGAUGACUAACAACAACGACACAAAUCAAAAUGAAAGAGAAGCCAUACCGGACUUGCAGUCGGACACAAUCGCGACACUGUCUAAAGAAUUUCCCACACACUCGAUACAAAGAGCUGAAGGUCUGUCCAUUAUGCGCACGUUAAACGAACAACAAACUCAAAUUUUUUACAAAAUCCGCGCAUGGUGCCUCGACAAAGUCAAUGGCAAAAACCCUGACCCGUUUCGCGUAUUCAUUUCAGGGGGAGCAGGCACGGGAAAGUCCCACCUGAUUAAAGCUGUGUACUACGAGUCAUGCAGACUCUUUGCAAGAAUGUCCAUUAAUCCAGACGACACUCAUGUUUUGCUAGCUGCUCCUACAGGAGUAGCAGCAUAUAAUAUCAACGGAAGCACAAUACACAGCACCUUUGCUAUUACUACAUCUGCCAAACUGCCAUAUCAACCUCUAGGAGAUGAAAGAAUCAAUUCGUUAAGAGCCACCAUGAAAGACUUACAAAUACUCAUUUUGGACGAGGUGAGUAUGGUUGAUCAUAAAAUCCUGACGUAUGUCCAUGGCAGACUACGACAAAUAAAGCAACAAGGAGAUUAUGCAUUGUUUGGGAAUGUAUCAAUCAUGGCAGUUGGUGACUUCUUCCAGCUCGGCCCUGUAAUGGAACACAUCUUUACCGCGAGCAAUUGGUGACCGAUCUGUGGAACAAUCAUUUCACUCACAUUGAGUUGACUAAGAUAAUGCGACAAAAAAACAAAGAGUUUGCUGAAACCUUGAAUCGUCUUAGGAAACACAGAAAAGGGGACAAUCUUUAUGAGCGAGAUGAAAUCUUACUAAGACAACGCGAGACAGGCGAGGGGGAACUGACACAGGACCUUCACAUUUUCUCAACAAACACUGCAGUGGCAGUCCAUAACAUCACCAUGUUAAACAAGACAUGUACGGAUAUAGUGCAAAUUCAAGCUCAAGAUACUCAGAGAGACCCUAACACAGGAAAUGUAACGAAAAAACGUAGUCCAC